rnacentral:rRNA from 1 species
CACCUAAGCGAAUAGAAGUGUAACUAGGAAUAUCACCCUCAGUACCAAAGCACCUCAUAAAAUAUUCCCAGCCAACUCGCCAAAUAGCAUUCCCUGCGUACCUCAAUCCAGCCCAAGGUAUUUUAUAAGGGACUAUAACACCCAGGGAUGGGCACAUUUCCCUUAGUUUUUUCCCCCAACCCAAUUGUCGUUGGGAGGCAUACCCGCAGGGGCGGGGGGGCCGAAGCUUAAACUG